CUUCCGGUUCUAGUUCAGCGAAGUAUGAGUCACGUGAUCAUCCACCAGCUGAGAGGAUCUGUGGGUUAUAUGAGACAAUCCCCUUCCGCCCCAAACAGGAAAGGUUAGAAUCCUGAGAACUGUUUGGAAUAAGGAAUCCAAAUAUUGUCUUCCAGCUUCACCUUGUCACGACAGUCCUCGCCAGGGACAGCUGAGGAUGGAAACCAGCCCUGCACACUGCUGGCUCUGGAGGCCUGGUAGAUUAACAGGCACCGGACUUACAAUUGGUCUCUUAAGCCUUUCAACUCUUUAGAAGCAAAGGGGAAGGCAUGGAGGGUGCCAUGAAAUCAAAGACAUUGUUCGUAAGCUCCUGGAUCUUAUCAGUGUGAGGAAGUGUUCAAAAAAGUUCUGUCCCCCCUAGAGACAAAAAGCAUCUACAUCUCCAUUUAUGCCGUGUGCACGCAGUACCAACAGAGGUCAGAGGAGGGUGUCGGAUCCCCUGGAACUGGAGUCACAGAUUCUUCCUUGCGUGGAUGAAACAGUCCCAACGAACACUUUAAAAAGACAAAUGUUCCCGACAGCACUGGUUGAAUUCAAAACUCGGCAGAUCCAUGUUCUUAUCCUUAGACAAGAGAGGGGCCAUAACAAGAUGGAAUGACGGAACAGACGUGAGAGAUGAUGGUACAGUGACUCGGGUAACCCCAGAAAAGGGACAGCUCUUCUACAGCUCAGUGGGGACAGGGACAAAAAGAAACAAUUUCAUUUCAGUCCACCCAGAGGGUCUGCACUUCUCGGAGCCAGAAGGUGGAGAAGAGUAGGGAUGGAGGAAGUUCGAAGUUUUAGGAGUCUGCUCUUGGGUCCCUAGGCAUGAGGACAAGCUUUUCCUGUACUCAAUGCUCAUCUCUCAGUUGUGCCCACAUUGGUACACAUUACUUGCUUUCAACUGCUGCUGCUGCUGUUUCCUAAUUCAAUAAAGAUAUGGCUGGCUCAGCAGAGAGCUGUCAUC
rnacentral:lncRNA from 1 species